AUCUACAGCCAUACCACCCUGAAAACACCUGACCUCAAAAGCUAAGCAGGGUCAGGUCUGGUUAGUACUUGGAUGGGAGAAAGGCCACCACUCUGUUGAUU
rnacentral:rRNA from 1 species